rnacentral:rRNA from 1 species
UAUGUGAUCGUCUCUCGCAUAUCAAUAAGCGGAGGAAAAGAAACUAACAAGGAUUCCCCUAGUAACGGCGAGUGAAGCGGGAAGAGCUCAAAUUUGAAAUCUUAAAGGGUUUCCCUUUACGAAUUGUAGUUUAAAGAAGUGUUUUCUGUUGAGGUUUUGGUAAAAGUUCUUUGGAAUAGGACAUCAUAGAGGGUGAGAAUCCCGUAUUUGACCUUUACUUUCAACUUUGUGAUACACUUUCAAAGAGUCGGAUUGUUUGGGAAUGCAGUCCAAAAUGGGUGGUAAAUUUCAUCUAAAGCUAAAUAUUGGCGAGAGACCGAUAGCGAACAAGUACCGUGAGGGAAAGAUGAAAAGAACUUUGAAAAGAGAGUUAAACAGUACGUGAAAUUGUCAAAAGGGAAGCGUUUGACACCAGUGUUGUUUUUCUGAAAAUCAAUUAAAGAACUGUUUAUGCUAAGUUGUUUAGACUUUAUCAGCUAACUGUUUAGUUUUGAGCUUUUCUUUAAUGCACUUUUCAGUUAACAAGUCAACAUCAAUUUCUUUUGCUGUAAAAAAGCUUGAGGAAGGUGGCUUGAGAUUCGUCUUAAGUGUUUAUAGCCUCUUGCCUAUGCAAGUCGGAGAGAUUGAGGUCUGCAGCGUAGAUCCUUCGGGGCUAAAUGCAUUUGUGCUAAGUUAUAGCAUUUUAUAGACAACUUGUUGACUAUGAUUUGUCCUGUAGCUUACUCGCUUAUGUUAUUUUACCUACGCUUAGGAUGUUGGAUCUACAGAGCGAGAGU